rnacentral:rRNA from 1 species
AAGUCUUUGGUGAAAGGCCGUAGCUUAACUAUGGGAAUGCCAAAGAGACUGGCAGGCUGGAGGCUGGGAGAGGGAAGCGGAAUUUCUGGUGUAGCGGUGAAAUGCGUAGAUAUCGAGAAGGAAGGCCGGUGGCGAAGGCGGCUUCCUGGAACAGUCCUGACACUGAGAGACGAAAGCGUGGGAGCAAACAGGAUUUAGAUACCCUGGUAGUCCACGCCCUAAACGAUGGGUACUAAGUGUGGAGGGGUUAAACCCUCCGUGCCGCAGCAAACGCAGUAAGUACCCCGCCUGGGGAGUACGGCCGCAAGGUUGAAACUCAAAGGAAUUGACGGGGGCCCGCACAAGCGGUGGUGCAUGUGGUUUAAUUCGACGCAACGCGAGGAACCUUACCUAGGCUUGACAUGUGGUGAGUAGCGAACCGAAAGGGGAGC